UGCCGUGUGGUGUAAUGGCAGCACAGUAGCCUUUGAAGUUAUUAGUCUUAGUUCGACUCUAAGCAUGGCUGCCA
rnacentral:tRNA from 1 species